GGUUAAGCGACUAAGCGUACACGGUGGAUGCCCUGGCAGUCAGAGGCGAUGAAGGACGUGCUAAUCUGCGAUAAGCGUCGGUAAGGUGAUAUGAACCGUUAUAACCGGCGAUUUCCGAAUGGGGAAACCCAGUGUGAUUCGUCACACUAUCAUUAACUGAAUCCAUAGGUUAAUGAGGCGAACCGGGGGAACUGAAACAUCUAAGUACCCCGAGGAAAAGAAAUCAACCGAGAUUCCCCCAGUAGCGGCGAGCGAACGGGGAGCAGCCCAGAGCCUGAAUCAGUGUGUGUGUUAGUGGAAGCGUCUGGAAAGGCGCGCGAUACAGGGUGACAGCCCCGUACACAAAAAUGCACAUGCUGUGAGCUCGAUGAGUAGGGCGGGACACGUGGUAUCCUGUCUGAAUAUGGGGGGACCAUCCUCCAAGGCUAAAUACUCCUGACUGACCGAUAGUGAACCAGUACCGUGAGGGAAAGGCGAAAAGAACCCCGGCGAGGGGAGUGAAAAAGAACCUGAAACCGUGUACGUACAAGCAGUGGGAGCACGCUUAGGCGUGUGACUGCGUACCUUUUGUAUAAUGGGUCAGCGACUUAUAUUCUGUAGCAAGGUUAACCGAAUAGGGGAGCCGAAGGGAAACCGAGUCUUAACUGGGCGUUAAGUUGCAGGGUAUAGACCCGAAACCCGGUGAUCUAGCCAUGGGCAGGUUGAAGGUUGGGUAACACUAACUGGAGGACCGAACCGACUAAUGUUGAAAAAUUAGCGGAUGACUUGUGGCUGGGGGUGAAAGGCCAAUCAAACCGGGAGAUAGCUGGUUCUCCCCGAAAGCUAUUUAGGUAGCGCCUCGUGAAUUCAUCUCCGGGGGUAGAGCACUGUUUCGGCAAGGGGGUCAUCCCGACUUACCAACCCGAUGCAAACUGCGAAUACCGGAGAAUGUUAUCACGGGAGACACACGGCGGGUGCUAACGUCCGUCGUGAAGAGGGAAACAACCCAGACCGCCAGCUAAGGUCCCAAAGUCAUGGUUAAGUGGGAAACGAUGUGGGAA
rnacentral:rRNA from 1 species